GUCAGCGAACCACCCUAUCCACGGUUAACCCCUUCCCUGCCACCAGCCAACCUCCCUACCUAUUGUUAAUCCAUCCUUAAUCCCUUCAUUGCCAGCUAACCUCCCUAACCCCUCUUAUCCUGUCCCCUGCCAGCCUACCUCCUCUGCGGUUAACCCCUCCCCUGUUAGCCGACCACCCUAUCCACGGUUAACCCCUUCCCUGGCACCAGCCAACCUUCAUACACACUGUUACACCCUAGAUAUAGAAGAGAGAGGAAACGAGAGCACAAAGCUCUAGACUGAUAUUUAUGAGUUUGUCUGUCUCUUUACAUUUAUAUAUAUUUUAACCAUGACACUAUGAUAUCUAAUGUGGUGAGGAAAUGUGUGUGUGAUGAGGUUUGUAAAUUCUAGUGUCGGACUGUGGAGGACUCUGAGGAGGCGUGGCCAGGUAUGAGUGCAGCUCACGCACGCCCAGUAAGGCAUGAUUGCCAGGAGUGUAAGCCGCUUGGGUGCUUUUCCUGUUCAGCUGCUAGCAGCUAUUCGUGAGGUUCCAGUUCGGGAAUUUGGAGUGCUACUUGGUAUCCUGUUCGGGAGUUUGGUGUUCUGCAGUAGCUGUGCCUGCAUCUCUGAAAAGGGGACGAUCGCCUAAACGGUUUUAACCCCUUGUGUGCAAAACGGUCCAUUACAAUUGGUGGCAAGCAGCGGGAUCGUUCCUACAGCUAGAAGGACAGCUACAGGAGACACCAUUUCUUUGGAUUUACAAGUGGGGGCAACACAUGUCCCAGUACAGCGACCCUAAAAGCAACAGAAUGGAACCAGCAGUGUUAUACGAGGAGGAGGACCUGGAUGCAUUAAGGAAAAGCAUCUGGUACCAGGCCCUGGAUAAUGUACAAUACCAGCGGGGUGAGAGUCUCCCCAGUGAAGAGCAGCGGUUGCAGAAGCAAGUGGCCCUGAGGAUGCCCUUCCUGGGAGAGCAGCCCCUGGAGGAAUGGGUGAAGGAAUUGGAGCUCCGAGUAUGGCAGGAGAUUUGGCUGGAAGAUGCCUACCAGGCGCUCUGGUGGUAUGGGGCACAGUACCUGCCCUGGACAGCCGAGCAUGACAAGCCAGAGGGAGAGGAGUUUGAUGGUCCUGGCUUGAUAUGGGAGGCUUUUGCAGAGCCUGAGUUUGGGAGCCCUACACAAGCCCGGUUCAGUGAUCUCUUGGAGUGGAGGGAGAGCAGGUAUGACUAGGACAACACUCACGAAAUUGAGCAAGACCUGGCUCACCUAGCAACCCUGGAGUGGGAACUGGAGCAGGACUACCGAGAUCUCUUCCACUCCACUGAGAAGAUUCAGCAGGACAGCAAGGUGACAGAUCCAGUUCCAGACCCAUUCAGCUGGGAAGACAUUGUUGAUAUUUACUGGGAAGAACCCCAGGUGGCGGGUGGAGACGGGACCGAGGUCUCUCCACCGAUAUUGCAGGGAAUUGGGAGCCCGAGCUCCAUU